rnacentral:rRNA from 1 species
AGUCGAGCGAGCUUGCCUAGAUGAUUUUAGUGCUUGCACUAAAUGAAACUAGAUACAAGCGAGCGGCGGACGGGUGAGUAACACGUGGGUAACCUGCCCAAGAGACUGGGAUAACACCUGGAAACAGAUGCUAAUACCGGAUAACAAUACUAGACGCAUGUCUAGAGUUUGAAAGAUGGUUCUGCUAUCACUCUUGGAUGGACCUGCGGUGCAUUAGCUAGUUGGUAAGGUAACGGCUUACCAAGGCAAUGAUGCAUAGCCGAGUUGAGAGACUGAUCGGCCACAUUGGGACUGAGACACGGCCCAAACUCCUACGGGAGGCAGCAGUAGGGAAUCUUCCACAAUGGACGAAAGUCUGAUGGAGCAACGCCGCGUGAGUGAAGAAGGGUUUCGGCUCGUAAAGCUCUGUUGGUAGUGAAGAAAGAUAGAGGUAGUAACUGGCCUUUAUUUGACGGUAAUUACUUAGAAAGUCACGGCUAACUACGUGCCAGCAGCCGCGGUAAUACGUAGGUGGCAAGCGUUGUCCGGAUUUAUUGGGCGUAAAGCGAGUGCAGGCGGUUCAAUAAGUCUGAUGUGAAAGCCUUCGGCUCAACCGGAGAAUUGCAUCAGAAACUGUUGAACUUGAGUGCAGAAGAGGAGAGUGGAACUCCAUGUGUAGCGGUGGAAUGCGUAGAUAUAUGGAAGAACACCAGUGGCGAAGGCGGCUCUCUGGUCUGCAACUGACGCUGAGGCUCGAAAGCAUGGGUAGCGAACAG